GAUGAACGCUGGCGGCGUGCCUAACACAUGCAAGUCGAGCGGGGUAUACGGAGCAGCUUGCUGCACUGUAGACCUAGCGGCGGACGGGUGAGUAACGCGUGGGUAACCUGCCUUACACAGGGGGAUAACACUGGGAAACCAGUGCUAAUACCGCAUAACAUCAUUUUAUGGCAUCAUGAAAUGAUCAAAGGAGAAAUCCGGUGUAAGAUGGGCCCGCGUCCGAUUAGCUAGUUGGUGAGGUAAUGGCUCACCAAGGCAGCGAUCGGUAGCCGGACUGAGAGGUUGGCCGGCCACAUUGGGACUGAGACACGGCCCAGACUCCUACGGGAGGCAGCAGUGGGGAAUAUUGCGCAAUGGGGGGAACCCUGACGCAGCGACGCCGCGUGAAGGAAGAAGGCCUUCGGGUUGUAAACUUCUUUGAUUGGGGAAGAAAAAUGACGGUACCCAAAGAACAAGCCACGGCUAACUACGUGCCAGCAGCCGCGGUAAUACGUAGGUGGCGAGCGUUAUCCGGAAUUACUGGGUGUAAAGGGCGUGUAGGCGGGGAUGCAAGUCAGAUGUGAAAUUCCGGGGCUCAACCUCGGCACUGCAUCUGAAACUGUGUCUCUUGAGUGCUGGAGAGGAAAGUGGAAUUCCUAGUGUAGCGGUGAAAUGCGUAGAGAUUAGGAGGAACACCAGUGGCGAAGGCGACUUUCUGGACAGCAACUGACGCUGAGGCGCGAGAGCGUGGGGAGCAAACAGGAUUAGAUACCCUGGUAGUCCACGCCGUAAACGAUGGAUACUAGGUGUAGGAGGUAUCGACCCCUUCUGUGCCGUAGUUAACACAAUAAGUAUCCCACCUGGGGAGUACGGCCGCAAGGCUGAAACUCAAAGGAAUUGACGGGGGCCCGCACAAGCAGUGGAGUAUGUGGUUUAAUUCGAAGCAACGCGAAAANCUUACCAGGGCUUGACAUCCUUGACGCUGUAAAAUACAGUUUAUCC
rnacentral:rRNA from 1 species